UAGGAGGACCCGCUGGCGCACCCCAGGUCUGUAGAGCAGAUGAUGGGGAAGAAGAGACUUUCAGAAAAGGAGGAGGGACCGGGCAGGAGUCCCAGAGCUGAGCCGUGCUGAUACCCCGGAACCAGGACGGGCAGACACUUCGAGGUCAUCCUGGGGAGUUUGGAGUGGGGUGGAGAAGCCGGUGGAAGUUACGGUACUGGAAGAUGCAUCAGGCCCUGGUUCGUCCUCCGCCCUGUCCUCUUGGCAGCCAACCUCGCGACCUCCUGCCUCCUGCUCGGUCUCCUCUGCCUCCCCUG